GCUUGUCUCAAAGAUUAAGCCAUGCAUGUCUCAGUAUAAGUUCCUGUACGGCGAAACUGCGAAUGGCUCAUUAAAACAGUUAUAGUUUAUUUGAUGGUCGUUCCUUACAUGGAUAACUGUGGUAAUUCUAGAGCUAAUACAUGCGUCAGAACCCAACUUUACGGAAGGGUCGUGUUUAUUAGAUACAAAACCAACAUCUCGUUGGUGAUUCAUAAUAACCAAGCGAAUCGUCGGUUUACCGACGAUAGAUCGUUCAAGUUUCUGACCUAUCAGCUUUGGUCGGUAGGGUAUUGGCCUACCGAGGCAAUGACGGGUAACGGAGAAUUAGGGUUCGAUUCCGGAGAGGGAGCCUGAGAAACGGCUACCACAUCUAAGGAAGGCAGCAGG
rnacentral:rRNA from 1 species